GAUGAACGCUGGCGGCGUGCCUAAUACAUGCAAGUCGAGCGAACAGAUGAGGAGCUUGCUCCUCUGACGUUAGCGGCGGACGGGUGAGUAACACGUGGAUAACCUACCUAUAAGACUGGGAUAACUUCGGGAAACCGGAGCUAAUACCGGAUAAUAUAUUGAACCACAUGGUUCAAUAGUGAAAGACGGUUUUGCUGUCACUUAUAGAUGGAUCCGCGCCGCAUUAGCUAGUUGGUAAGGUAACGGCUUACCAAGGCAACGAGGCGUAGCCGACCUGAGAGGGUGAUCGGCCACACUGGAACGGGGACACGGUCCAGACUCCUACGGGAGGCAGCAGUAGGGAAUCGUCCGCAAUGGGCGAAAGCCUGACGGAGCAACGCCGCGUGAGUGAUGAAGGUCUUCGGAUCGUAAAACUCUGUUAUUAGGGAAGAACAACUGUGUAAGUAACUAUGCACGUCUUGACGGUACCUAAUCAGAAAGCCACGGCUAACUACGUG
rnacentral:rRNA from 1 species